GUUUCGGAAGUUCGGUAGAUUAUUGGCUCCGUCUCACCAGUCUUUUGUGUACUCAUUGUUUCCUCGGCGGCGUAAGUCGCCGAAUGGACAAUCAAAACCUUUUUGUAAUUGCAAUCAGCGUCAUAAAAUAUAUUAAUAUUUACAACUUUCAACAACGGAUCUCUUGGUUCUGGCAUCGAUGAAGAACGCAGCGAAAUGCGAUAAGUAGUGUGAAUUGCAGAAUUCAGUGAAUCAUCGAAUCUUUGAACGCACAUUGCGCCCCUUGGUAUUCCAUGGGGCAUGCCUGUUCGAGCGUCAUUUGUACCCUCAAGCUUUGCUUGGUGUUGGGCGUCUUGUCGGACUAUCCGACUCGCCUUAAAUACAUUGGCAGCCGGCACUUUGGCCUAGGAGCGCAGCACAUUUUGCGAUCGUAAGCCGUUGUGACAGCAUCCAUAAGAUUUAUUUACCACGUUUGACCUCGGAUCAGGUAGGGAUACCCGCUGAACUUAAGCAUAUCAAUAGGCCGGGAGGAAGG
rnacentral:rRNA from 1 species